UACGUAGGUGGCAAGCGUUGUCCGGAUUUACUGGCGUAAAGAGCGCGCAGGCGGUCGUUCAAGUCGCGUGUGAAAGCCCCCGGCUCAACUGGGGAGGGUCAUUCGAUACUGAUCGACUCGAAGGCAGGAGAGGGUAGUGGAAUUCCCGGUGUAGUGGUGAAAUGCGUAGAUAUCUGGAGGAACACCGGUGGCGAAGGCGGCAUCCUGGGACCGGUAUUGACGCUGAGGCGCGAAAGCCAGGGGAGCAAACGGG
rnacentral:rRNA from 1 species